rnacentral:rRNA from 1 species
AUUGAACGCUGGCGGCAGGCCUAACACAUGCAAGUCGAGCGAGCGGCGGACGGGUGAGUAAUGUAUGGGGACUGCCCGAUCGAGGGGGAUAACUACUGGAAACGGUGGCUAAUACCGCAUACUAUCGGAUAACCCAUAUGGGAUUCGCUAGUAGGUGGGGGAAAGGCUCACCUAGGCGACGAUCUCUAGCUGGUCUGAGAGGAUGAUAAGCCACACGGGGACGUAGACACUGCCCAGAUGCCUACGGAGGCAGCAGGGGGGAAGAUUGCACAAUGGGCGCAAGCCUGAUGCAGCCAUGCCGCGUGUAUGAAGAAGGCCUUAGGGUUGUAAAGUACUUUCAGCGGGGAGGCGUGACCCGCAGAAGAAGCACCGGCUAACUCCGUGCCAGCAGCCGCGGUAAUAC